GCCCUUCUACGGGGCGCACCAGGGGCGAAAACUUUACAAUGCGGGAAACCGUGAUAAGGGGACACCGAGUGCCAGCAACAUUUGUUGGCUGUCCGGGUGUGUAAAAUACACCUGUUAGCAAGGGCCGGGCAAGACCGGUGCCAGCCGCCGCGGUAACACCGGCGGCCCGAGUGGUGAUCGUUAUUAUUGGGUCUAAAGGGUCCGUAGCCGGUUUGGUCAGUCCUCCGGGAAAUCUGAUAGCUCAACUAUUAGGCUUUCGGGGGAUACUGCCAGGCUUGGAACCGGGAGAGGUAAGAGGUACUACAGGGGUAGGAGUGAAAUCUUGUAAUCCCUGUGGGACCACCUGUGGCGAAGGCGUCUUACCAGAACGGGUUCGACGGUGAGGGACGAAAGCUGGGGGCACGAACCGGAUUAGAUACCCGGGUAGUCCCAGCCGUAAACGAUGCUCGCUAGGUGUCAGGCAUGGUGCGACCGUGUCUGGUGCCGCAGGGAAGCCGUGAAGCGAGCCACCUGGGAAGUACGGCCGCAAGGCUGAAACUUAAAGGAAUUGGCGGGGGAGCAC
rnacentral:rRNA from 1 species